rnacentral:lncRNA from 1 species
AGGUCACCCAUGUAAACAAAUGUUUUGACCUAAGCUACGUGCAGUUUUUUCUUGAUUUCUGUGCUAAAUUCGAUCAAAUUUUUGCUUCUCUGCUAUAUUCAUCGUAGUGUUUGACAUCAUAGUUAUAUUGAGUGAUUUUGAUUAGUUAUAAACCUCUUCAAUCCUCUACUUUUCUCCCACACAAGUGACAUCAGCAGCUCCUCUCUGGCCUGAAUUUCAAGUCUAGAAGCAACCUUCAAAUUCCGGUGACUGAAGCUGAGAAGUGCGCAUCUGCCUCAAUGACGUUGCAAAUCUUCUCUACUAUACAUUAAAAAUUAGGUUGUUGCCGCAAUACACUGGCUUGCCCUCUUCAGAAGAUCGAUUCUUUGUUACGAUCAAACGGCAUGUUCAUAGUUACUUCGUGAGCUGGCCCAUAGUGUGCAUACAUAUUUAUUUUCUUCAAAUUUUAAAUUCGGGGCCCCCUUCCCACUUUUUUUUAUAGCUUUUGCUUAUACCUAAGUACAGUAAUCUUGACAUUGAUCAAAAUAAAUAAUUAAAUUCAACAGGUGCUAAUUUAUAAGUUAGAAUUGUGGGAGUUUGUAUUUAUUUUCCAAUUUUGUUCGUACCUUUCAGAGUUCUUAAACGAAGUAUGUAAAAUGUAUGAUUCCCUUGUGCCUGACUGUAUAAAAAAUAAUAAAGUGAGUUAUUUUUGCCUCUAUGUGGUUUGUAUGUUUGUUGUCAUUUCAACUCAUGGAAAGAGGCCUUAAAUAUGUCAUAGACGAUGUGCCAAAUCUUCUGCGAUAAUGUAAAUAAUCGGUCAAUUUAAAUAACUUUUAAAAG